UUGGCCUCAGAUUCCACCUGCAAGUCAGUACAAUUCGCAUACCUUAUGUAUAGAAUCGAUACAUCCAUCAAUUGAAACACAUCACUCAACUCAAUAAAUCACAAGGGUCCAGAUUAUAGGGCCAAAUCGUUAUGACACGUCCCAUACCAUGUCACACAAUUUUGUCUCAUAAUCCAGCGCAUCAAACUCAACCAUCAUGCGUUCCAAUUGUUAAUUACACC
rnacentral:lncRNA from 1 species